CCACGUGUCUCCCCAGGAGGCCUCCUUCACCCUAACAAUCAGACAGGGACUGGAGGUUCCAGAUCAUCAGCAGCAGCCCACGCCAGCCCCUCCCCUGCUGCCCGGAUGCCUGGCCUCAGAGUCAACGUGCUCCUGCGAGAAGCCACCAGCUAAUAAACCCACAGGCCGCUUCUCCCUCUUCCCCGUUCUGCCACUGUUCUCUGCGCAUAGAAGGUCCUCGGGACAUACUCAGAGAGUUCGUAAUUUCAGAACCUUGUCAAAAAAUAGACACUUGAGGCCAGGCGCGGUGGCUCAUGCCUGUAAUCCCAGCACUUUGGGAGGCCAAGGCAGGCGGAUCACAAAGUCAGGAGAUGGAGACCAUACUGGCUAACAUGGUAAAACCCCAUCUCUACUAAAAAAAAAAUACGAAAAAUUAGCCAGGUGUGGUGGCAGGCACCUGUAGUCCCAGCUACUGGGGAGGCUGAGGCAGGAGAAUGGUGUGAACCCGGGAGGCGGAGCUUGCAGUGAGCCGAGAUCGUGCCACUGCACUUCAGCCUGGGCGACAGAGCGAGACUCCGUCUCAAAAAAAAAAAAAAUAGACACUUGAACUCAAGAUGGUUAAUGGAGCCACGCACGUGUAAUUCAUCGUCAAGAUUUGGUAUGCUAAUCCUGAUGACUUUCUUUUCUCACUCUUGCCCAGGAUGGAGUGCAGCGGCACGAUCUUGGCUCACUGCAACCUCUGCCUCCCAGGUUCAAGCGAUUCUCCUGCCUCAGCCUCCCAAGUAGCUGGGACUAGAGGCAGUGACACCACACCCGGCUAAUUUUUAUACUUUUAGUAGAGACGGAGUUUCACCAUGUUGCCCAGGCUGCUCUCAAACUCCUGACCUCAGAUGAUAACUCUGAUGACUUUUUGAAGAUUAUAUCCUUCUCUGAACUUAUUUCCUUCUUUAUUACAAAUGUUCACCAAGGAAAAAUACCAAUAUGAAUAGAUUAACCAAACAUUUCAGAGUAUUCACUGGAAAUCCUUAUACCUUAUAUAUAUUGAACAAUAGUCACAGUCCCAUAUGCUGAAUACUUUGUUCAUCACGCACAUCUGUCAUAAUUUCCAUACUUUUAAUAUUACAUUAAAGUAUUAUUUAACUCAGUUACUGAGGGGUGUUUUGUUUUGUUUGGAGUUUGGCGCCUCCUUAAACGUGGCACCUCACUUGAGUCACGGCCCUGUCAAAUAAGGACCUGACUUGGAAGCAAGAAAAGAGCAAAGAAUGUGAACACAUUUGCUAUUUCCAGCUCAGGACGCAAAAACUAUCCUCAUUCCUUUUCCCACAUCCAGCCCUCUCCUAAUUACCAGUCCUGCCAUUUUCACAGCACGAGAGCUCACUUUCAGGAACUGAGGAUAAAAAGGGGCAUCCCUGGUGAAAGCAAAUGCGUGACAUGCUGCAGCCAGGCGCAGUGGCGGCGCCCAUAGCUCCAGCUACUUGGGAGGCCAAGGCACAAAGCAAGAUCCUGUGUCUACAAAAAGAAAUGUAUGCAGAAAAGUGAAAUGGAUAAAGACCUAUCUUUUAAAAGGCAAAUUUCUAAAAAACAAAAGCUUUUUCUGUGGAGUGAGAAGGACGUGGUUUUCUUUCUACUACUCCUCUUCCCACCUGCUUCUCCCUGAGCAAGCUUCAUAAAAGUAGAAAUCCAGAGAGAUGCUGCUACCAAUUUUGUAACUAUUUGUGAAGAAAAAGAAAAUUGAGUCAAAGCGUUUGUGUGACACAAAUUUACAUUAUCCAUCUGUAAGGGGUACAGCCGAGUACAAAAAAGUGAGAAAUAUGGCCUGGUGCAGUGGCUCACGCCUGUAAUGCCAGCAAUUUGGGAGGCCGAGACAGGUGGAUCACCUGAGGACAGGAGUUAGAGACCAGCCUGGCCAACAUGGUAAAAUCCCGUCUCCAUCAAAAAAAAAAAAAAAAAAAAUUAGCCAUGUAUGGUGGUGUAUACCUGUAGUCCCAGCUACUGGGGAGGCUGAGGUGGGAGAAUUUUUUGAACUCGGGAGGCAGAGGUUGCAGUGAGCUGAGAUCGCGCCACUGCACUCCAGCCUGGGUGACAGAGCGAUACUCCGUCUCAAAAAAAUAAGAAAAAGAAAAGAAACAUGGAUGACAGGCGAGGUGUAGUGGCUCACGCCACUUUGGGAGGCACUUUGGGAGGCUGAGGCAGGUGGAUCACCUGAGGUCAGGAGUUUUAGACCAGCCUGGCCAAUAUGGCAAAAUCCCAUCUCUACUAAAAAUACAAAAAUUAGCUGGGCGUCGUGGUACACUCCUGUAGUCUCAUCUACUGGGGAGGCUGAGUUGGGAGAAUCACUUGAACCCGGGAGGUGGAGGUUGCAGUGAGCCAAGAUUGCGCCACUGCGCUCCAGCCUGGGAGACAGAGCAAGACUCUGUCUCAAAACCAAAAAAAAAAAAAAAAAAAAAGUGAGAAAAGUGACUGGCUUAAAUAAAUAAUAGAAAUAAAGAAGUGAGAGCCAUUUUAAAAAUCAGCUGUGAAGUAAAAGUCCUUACAUAAAAAAAUUAAGAAGGGAUAAUGUAGACAAUUUUUCACAAAGAAGUAAUUUUCAAAUUAUGUUAAGUGUGUCGCAAUACAACAUAGACUCUGAUGAGAUCACCACUAGAUUUUUUUUCUUAGGAUAAAGUUUUCUAUGCUGUGAAUUAAUAUUUUCUGUGUUUCAAUAAAAAGAACAAGCAUUGCUAGUUUUUUGUAAAAAAAAAAUUCUAAAUAUAAUUAUUCUGGCUUUCAAUUGCUUUCUGCACAAAUAAAGAUUUUUAAGUCUGUGUGUUUAUUCUUUUUAUUCUUUUUCUUUUCUUUUUUUUUUUUUUUUUUUUUUUUUUUUUUUUUUUUUUUUUGAGACGGAGUCUCGCUGUUGUUGCCUGGGCUGGAGUGCAAUGGCGCGAUCUCGGCUCACUGCAACCUCUGCCUCCCUGGUUCCAGCAAUUGUCCUGCCUCAGCCUCCCGAGCAGCUGAAAUUACAGGCACACAUCACCACACAACGGCUAAUUUUUGCAUUUUUAGUAGAGAUGGGGUUUCACCAUGUUGGCCAGGUCAAACUCCUGAUCUCAGGUGAUCCACCCGCCUCGACCUCCCAAAGUGCUGGGAUUACAGGCGUGAGUCACCACGCCCAGCCUUGUGUGUUUAUUCUUAAUACCUUAUUUUUGGAAGAAGAAUCUCCAUUCUAAUUAUCCAAACCUGAUAGCUGUAAAAUUGAAUGGGAAAGACUAGAAACAAGAGGACACAAAGAAAAUAAUUCAGAGCUGUAAACAACCACUUAAAAUUUGAGGGAGAUGAAUGAGUCCCGAAGAGAAUUAAAUAGCCACAAAAAGCCAAAUAAACUAUGGUUUUAAAACAUCACACGGCGAUAGGCCCAGAGAUAGGCUUUGGAAACGUUUGCAGCUACAUCUGAAAUCACAGACUCAUAAUGUUCAGGAGGAACCUGGCCGGGCAGCCAAACCGCGCAUAGGCCUCUGGGGGAGAUGCAGGGCUGAGUGUGCAGACGGCGGGUAGGGGCAGGAGACCGGCCUGUCUGCAGCAGGCAGCCUGUCUGCUGGGCCAGAGAAGACCCAGGGAGCCAGUCUCUCGGAGUCCUGCAGCAUGCUCGGGCCGAAGUUAACCACCUCUGCUUGCUGCCUUCAUCAACACAAGAGGGCGGGGGAGCUGCAAAACCAAGUAUCUCCAACUACGCUCUCCACACUGAACUCACUAGGGCUCACUGAAACAGUGCAUUCAUGCCUGGCCUCCAAUUUACUUUUCCCCACCUGCAGACACAGGCGUGGCUUGUUAUGUCCAGUCACGGAGAGGAGCCACCUUCUGGAGGGUCCCACUGGGAGGGAAUGACAACAAUCCUGUUAGGCUUUGAACUCCUGAAUUAAACUUGAACACGGUCUACCAGAUGCCAUGGGCAUUUGUGACACUCAGGGAACAAUGAGGUCAACACGUCACACGUUACUCAAACGUAGAGUUGCCCCAUUGCUCCCCGGCUCCACCCUGCCAUUGCACCUGGCAGCGGGAUUCCCACAGCCUGUGCUGAGCCUCACUGUUGGGGACUGCAGUGACCUUCCUCACCGUCACAGGACAGAAGAUGCUUCUAAAACUACAAGUGUCCAGAAAGCAACUUGGGCCACCUUCUUACAGGCUGAGCUCUCUGUUACUGGAAGAAUUCAAACAAAGUCAGGAUUACCCUCUAUCAGAGGGGAUUCACUCUUCCAUAAGGAAUUAUGCCAAGCAGUUUGAGAGCACUGGUCACUGCAGUCCCAGGGGGAGAGCAGCAGGCUCAGACAGGGUUAAAAGUAGUCUCUUCCCUCAAUUAAAGGAUG
rnacentral:lncRNA from 10 species